GGAGCCCAGAUCCCUCCGCCUGCGGGACAGAGCGAGGCUGCGGGUACCUCAGCACCCCAGCUCCAGAGUUGGCAGGGAUCUAAGUAAAUAAGUUCUGGGGAGAUAAGAGUGUUGGUAGGCCCCAGCUCCUACACUUACUGUGUGACAAAGCUCCGAAGCCAGAUCGCGCUCUCUUAUCUCGUGGUUACCUGGGGAGCUCCGCUGCUCCCUCUACCUGUGACAGGUCCCCUCCUUUCCCCUGACCCGGCUCGGUUGACGCCCAGACAUUUAAAGCUACAGUGCAUAAUUCUCGGGUGAUCUAAUCUUUUAGUGCCUGCGGGCCCCAGCGCACUUAACUACGGAGGGGGCAAUUUAAAGGGGCGGGACCCCAACCACUACCUCCCUUGCCUCACAGGAAACAUCCAGAAGCCUUGUCUUGAAGAAAUAUAACUCUCUCAAAAAAAAAAAUCUUUUAAAAUCCCCGACGGCCUCUGGGCGUGGUGAAUUUUUAAGUGCUUCACAACAAGAUUGUGCGCUCCAUUGCUUCUGGACCUUUAACCCGUCAGACUUCCUGUCCGCAUCCUGUCACUAACAAGUCCUCGGCUGGCUCUACCUGGAGCUUGAGGAAAUGACAGAGUCUGGCGUGGACUUCAAAGCCUUAGCAAAACAGAAGCAAGAGGUUCUUCAACAAGCUAGGGUCUGCUUUACUGAACAAAGUCCCUGUUCUGGCUUCUUGUGGGAGAGAUGAGAAGAGGCGACAAGUGGUGGGUUAGAAAAUUUAUAAUCUCGGAGUCAGACUGUUUUGGUUCAAAAUUUUCCACUAUUUCUGAAAAGAGCAAAGCACAUCUCUUAACUCUCCAUCCUCUUGGGUAAGCUGAAGGUGGUAAGGCCAGGUACAUAACUUGUGAAUUUGGUGUGAGUUUAGUUCCCAGUAGACUAGUACAGUGCCUCGUGUUGCACUGUAUGACCCACACGGGCUGCUCAGCUGAAAAUGAGCCCUUUUAGGGCCUGCGUGAGUUCAGAAAAGGCUCAUAGUGGGCCAGUUCAAUAGGACUAUUCUGCAAAGAGCUUGGAGGCAUAUAUGUACCUCCUUAAACAGGAAGCACGUAGGCUUCUAGUCCCUCGGCCUCCCUUUUCAACCCUUCCACUUUGCCCCUCCUUCCAGAAGCCUGAUUUAUGUAGGAUCACACAUGGUCCCCAAAUGUUGCUCCUUAGUUUUCCUAGUAGUAUGGGGGGUGGGGGCACAGAGCUGCCAGUACUCCUUGAGCAGUCUGGUUUGCCCCCAAGACUUGAGUGAAGGCAUCUGCCCUUCCCCAAGCCCUGGGAGAACACAGCCUU
rnacentral:lncRNA from 1 species